AUGCCUGUUCGAGCGUCAUU
rnacentral:rRNA from 1 species